AUGGCCUCCUACAAACUGGUGCUGAUCCGGCACGGCGAGAGCGCUUGGAACUUGGAGAACCGCUUCAGCGGCUGUUAUGACGCCGAUCUGAGCCCAGCGGGCCACGAGGAGGGGAAGCGUGGCGGGCAGGCGCUGUGAGAUGCUGGCUAUGAGUUUGACAUCUGCUUCACCUCAGUGCAGAAGAGAGCGAUCCGGACCCUCUGGACAGUGCUAGAUGCCAUUGAUCAGAUGUGGCUGCCAGUAGUGAGGACUUGGCGCCUCAAUGAGCGGCACUAUGGGAGUCUAACUGGUCUCAAUAAAGCAGAAACUGCUGCAAAGCACAGUGAGGCCCAGGUGAAGAUCUGGAGGCGCUCCUAUGAUGUCCUACCACCUCCGAUGGAGCCGACCAUCCUUUCUACAGCAACAUCAGUAAGGAUUGCAGGUACGCAGACCUCACAGAAGAUCAGUUACCCUCCUGUGAGAGUCUGAAGGACACGAUUGCUGGAGCUCUGCCCUUCUGGAAUGAAGAAAUAGUUCCCCAGAUCAAGGAGGGGAAACGGGUACUGAUUGCAGCCCAUGGCAACAGCCUCCGGGGCAUUGUCAAGCAUCUGGAGGGGCUCUCUGAAGAGGCUAUCAUGGAGCUGAACUUGCCGACUGGUAUUCCAGUCUAUGAAUUGGACAAGAAUUUGAAACCCAUCAAGUCCACGCAGUUCCUGGGGGAUGAAGAGACCGUGCGUAAAGCCAUGGAAGCUGUGGCUGCCCAGGGGAAGGCCAAGAAGUGA